ensembl:snRNA U6 U6 spliceosomal RNA
GUGCUCACGUCAGCAGCACAUAUACUAAAAUUGGAACGUUACAGAGAAAAUUAGCAUGGCUUCUGUGCAAGGAUGACAUGCAAAUUCAUGAAGCAUUCCAUAUUUUU